rnacentral:rRNA from 1 species
GACGAAGGGGGCUAGCGUUGUUCGGAAUUACUGGGCGUAAAGGGCUCGUAGGCGGCCAACUAAGUCAGACGUGAAAUCCCCAGGCUCAACCUGGGAACUGCGUCUGAUACUGGAUGGCUUGAAUUCGGGAGAGGGAUGCAGAAUUCCAGGUGUAGCGGUGAAAUGCGUAGAUAUCUGGAGGAAUACCGGUGGCGAAGGCGGCUCAACUGGCCCCGGUACUGAGCGCUGACGGUGCGAAAGCGUGGGGAGCAAACAGGG